GACGAACGCUGGCGGCGUGCUUAACACAUGCAAGUCGAACGGAAAUGCCCUGCUUUGGUGUGUUGCGCGAGUGGCGAACGGGUGAGUAACACGUGAGUAACCUGCCCUUGACUGUGGGAUAACUUCAGGAAACGGGUGCUAAUACCGGAUAGGAGCUCCUUCUGCAUUGUUGGGGUUGUAAAGGUUCGGCGGUUGGGGAUGGACUCGCGGCUGAUCAGAUUGUUGGUGGGGUAACGGCUUACCAAGGCUUUGACGGGUAGCCGGCCUGAGAGGGUGACCGGCACGAUUGCGAUUGAAAUACGACACAGACUACUCCCGGACGCAGCAGUGGGGAAUAUUACAUAAUGGGAGGAAGCCUGCUGUAGUGACGCCGCGUGCGGGAUGACGGGCUUCGGGUUGUAAACCGAUUUCGCCUGUGACGAAGCGUGAGUGACGGUAAUGGGUAAAGAAGCACCGGCUAACUACGUG
rnacentral:rRNA from 1 species